AGUGAACUCUGGCGGUAGGCUUAACACAUGCAAGUCGAACGGCAGCACAGUAAGAGCUUGCUCUUACGGGUGGCGAGUGGCGGACGGGUGAGGAAUACAUCGGAAUCUACUUUUUCGUGGGGGAUAACGUAGGGAAACUUACGCUAAUACCGCAUACGACCUACGGGUGAAAGCAGGGGAUCUUCGGACCUUGCGCGAUUGAAUGAGCCGAUGUCGGAUUAGCUAGUUGGCGGGGUAAAGGCCCACCAAGGCGACGAUCCGUAGCUGGUCUGAGAGGAUGAUCAGCCACACUAGAACUGAGACACGGUCCAGACUCCUACGGGAGGCAGCAGUGGGGAAUAUUGGACAAUGGGCGCAAGCCUGAUCCAGCCAUACCGCGUGGGUGAAGAAGGCCUUCGGGUUGUAAAGCCCUUUUGUUGGGAAAGAAAAGCAGCAGGUUAAUACCCCGCUGUUCUGACGGUACCCAAAGAAUAAGCACCGGCUAACUUCGUG
rnacentral:rRNA from 1 species